rnacentral:lncRNA from 1 species
CCAACCAAGGCUCCGGCGGCUUCGAGCUUUGACUUGGUCGUAUCUAACUUAGCCUCAGGCUCAGGCGUUGCAGACACGAAGCUCUUGACAACCCCGGGCUUUUUGCUAAAAAUGCUCAACUGCUGAUCGGUAGAAGAGCCCUGACCGAGUAGGCUUUUCUUCUUAAGAGCCCCGAGGCCGGAGGUCUUGGACUUCUUGCUAAACUCGACUAUGGGCAAAGAGGCUGAAUCCUCAGGUUUCUUCUUCUUCCCUUUGCCUCCAUUCCCACUGAUCUCAAUAGAACCGAUCACGCCAACCUCGUACAUCUGCUUGGAGGGUUUGCGAGGCUUGGCGCGAGGUUCAACCUCUAUGCCCAUCUCUGAAAAAGCACGGUUCACUUGGAGACCAUGCGUAACAAACUUGCGAGCAAACAAAAAUUCGCUCUCGUGGCAAGGCCGAAGAAUAUCCACAGCCCGCCUUUCAACCUCGUCAACAAAAACGUCGAC